rnacentral:lncRNA from 1 species
AUGUAAACUUCUGUGGUACCUGCAACUGCAAUGCAUCUACACAAUAACAAACCUUAAAUAAGUACAUGUUUAUAAUACCCUGGAUCUCAAUUUAAUGGCAUCCUUUGUGUUUAGAAUAUCCUGCCAUUAAGCAGUGCUUUAUUCAGAGCUGUAUUAUUAUCUUUGUUAUCCAUGAAUAUGUGUUCACUUCCUAACGCUUCUCAGCCAAUUAAGCUUUUUCAUUUUCAUUUUUCAUAUCACCUGAUGUGCUCGUUAGAAAGCUGUUGGAUAUGAUCCAUCGGGAACUUCUGCUAUACAAGCUCCAUCAACAUGAAUGGUAUGUACGUAAGAUUACAACACUUGGGAUUUGAGCAAAGAGUAGAAUGUGUUCCUUAAUCGUUAUACUGAACAUUGAUUUGCAGAGUGUGUGACUUUUUCCGUUUCAUCAGUUGAUUUCAGCAAGGCCUCCUUUCAUCUCUCAUUUCCAGUUUUUAUUUAUUUUUUAAAUUUAAAAGCAUUUAUAAAAUGCUCAAUCUUUCAAAAAUCUCUAAGUGCAUAGUAUAAAAAAACAAAGCAGAAAACCCAUUUAAGCAAUAGUAUAAAAGCACAGAAAAAUAAUAACAGGAAUCCAGGGAACUUCAACACAUUAAAUGUCAGGAACUGGCUGGAUGAAGAAGAGUGUUAAGAGGAACCAGCCAGGGAACCCCCAGAGGAGGAAAGCUAAGAGCAGGGGAUUGCUGGUGGGACACUGAGGAGAGGUCAGAGGGAGAAGACUGGAAGUGCUGAAGGGGUGACAGGGUUUAGUGAGCAGGAAGAGCCUGUGACAGGGAGCAGUUCAGACUCCAAAGCUGAAGCAGAGGAGAGGGUGGUCAAGGAAUUGCUGAAGAAUUCAGAGACCUGCCCUCUCUUGCUGCAGCAAGCCCCCCUCCCCCCUGGUCUCCAAGAACUCACAGAGCAAUGGGAAGAGCAGAACAGAGGUCAGAGGUGUGCAUGUGCAGUAUGAGACUGCUUGGGAAACAUCCAGGAGAGGAGGAGCCUUAGAGAGGUGUGGAAGCAAUAGUAUAAAAGCAUAGAAACUGGCAACUGCUCCAUAGGGGCAAGACCUGCUGAGGAAUGUUGCUGAGACCACUAGGCUGUUGUAUGUCUGUUUUCUUGAAUAAAUAGUUAACUUCACUGAAAACAGUGAACUUUCAGAUUUGAAAAUAAGGGAUCAGCAGCCUCACCUGUCCCGGGGACCCUCGAAAAUAAGGGAUCAGCAGCCUCACCUGUUCCGGGGACUGUCUACGGGAUAUCUAACAAUCCGGGAUAGCAGUGGGAAGCAGUGGGAAAUGGCGCUGGAAUAAGGGAAUUUCCCGCAAAAAAAGGGAAGGUUGACAGGUAUGCCUAUGAAUAUUUCACACACCACUGGCUUUAUCUUUAGUGUGUGCUUAUAAACUCAAAUAUAAAAUGUUCUAUAGUUGUUGUAGAACUAUUACACUAAACAAACUUUUUAGAGUCAAAGUAUUUUGUUUCUUUAAAAUACUUUCUGUCUAAGAGUGUAAGUGGUAACAAUGCAGAAAUAAUGACAUUUUGAUG